rnacentral:rRNA from 1 species
UACAGAGGUGGCAAGCGUUGUUCGGAAUUACUGGGCGUAAAGGGCGAGUAGGCGGCCUUCUAAGUCAGACGUGAAAUCCCCCGGCUUAACCUGGGAACUGCGUCUGAUACUGGGAGGCUUGAGUAUGGGAGAGGGAUGUAGAAUUCCAGGUGUAGCGGUGAAAUGCGCAGAUAUCAGGAAGAACACCCGUGGCUAAGGCGGCUCUCUAGUACGGUACUGACGCUGAGACGCGAAAGCGUGGGGAGCGAACAGG